CGCCGGCAGCGCGUGCCGGAGCGUUUCCCCCCGCCCCGGCGGGGACAGCCGCCAUCAUCGGCCUCGGCUGCCGCGGGGCGGGCAAGGGGCCUUCCCCGGCGCUGGUUUCCCCUCACGGCACCGUCGUUAUUCCUGCCCCGGGGGAAAGGCAGAGGAUUGCAAUAAAUACAGCACAUGGCACAGCCAGCCAGAAGGGGUACUGUCGGGUAUACUGAAGAACACUGCAGAGAUCCAGGUCUUAGGAGCAGGGGAAUUAACUCCGGAGACUCCAGGCUGAGGUUGCCUCUAACACAGCGUCCAUCAGACUGCUCAGCUUCUACCAAAGGAAGAAGUGUCUACAUCCCACCUGUGGUUCAAGCUUCCCGUGUUGGUAAAUGACCAAGCAUUCUACCCGAAGUCACCUGACAAGGUUUAACCCAACACAUUUUUUCAUGCAUAGAAGUGGGUUACAAGUUAACAGUAAUUUGGG